rnacentral:rRNA from 1 species
AUCGAACGUUGGCGGCAGGCCUAACACAUGCAAGUCGAGCGAACGGCGGACGGGUGAGUAAUGUAUGGGGACUGCCCGAUAGUGGGGGAUAACUUCUGGAAACGGUGGCUACUACCGCAUACUAUCCUAUAACCCAUAGGGGAUUAGCUAGUGGGUUGGGUAAAGGCACACCUAGGCGACUUUCACUAGCUGGUCUGAGAGGAUGAUCAGCCACAGUGAGACUAAGACACGGCCGAGACUCCUGCGGAGGCGGCAGUGGGGAAUAUAGGGCAAUAGACGCAAGCCUGAUGCAGCCAUGCCGCGUGUAUGAAGAAGGCCUUAGGGUUGUAAAGUGCUUUCAGCGAGGGGGCGUUACCCGCAGAAGAAGCACCGGCUAACUCCGUGCCAGCAGCCGCGGUAAUUC